GAUGAACGCUGGCGGCGUGCCUAAUACAUGCAAGUCGAGCGAACGGACGAGAAGCUUGCUUUUCUGAUGUUAGCGGCGGACGGGUAAGUAACACGUGGAUAACCUACCUAUAAGACUGGGAUAACUUCGGGAAACCGGAGCUAAUACCGGAUAAUAUUUUGAACCGCAUGGUUCAAAAGUGAAAGACGGUCUUGCUGUCACUUAUAGAUGGAUCCGCGCUGCAUUAGCUAGUUAGUAAGGUAACGGCUUACCAAGGCAACGAUGCAUAGCCGACCUGAGAGGGUGAUCGGCCACACUGGAACUGAGACACGGUCCAGACUCCUACGGGAGGCAGCAGUAGGGAAUCUUCCGCAAUGGGCGAAAGCCUGACGGAGCAACGCCGCGUGAGUGAUGAAGGUCUUCGGAUCGUAAAACUCUGUUAUUAGGGAAGAACAUAUGUGUAAGUAACUGUGCACAUCUUGACGGUACCUAAUCAGAAAGCCACGGCUAACUACGCG
rnacentral:rRNA from 1 species